rnacentral:rRNA from 1 species
GGGAGUGAAACAGAACCUGAAACCGUGUACGUACAAGCAGUGGGAGCCCCACCACCAAAGCGUUUCGCUUUGCGUGGUGCGCAAAAUGCGUAACGACAGCACGAUUGCGGUUAACGGAGCGUAAGCGACGUUCAACACAAAAAUCAGGCAGUGGAGCGUUUUGGGGUGGGGUGACUGCGUACCUUUUGUAUAAUGGGUCAGCGACUUAUAUUCUGUAGCAAGGUUAACCGCAUAGGGGAGCCGGAGGGAAACCGAGUCUUAAUUGGGCGUUAAGUUGCAGGGUAUAGACCCGAAACCCGGUGAUCUAGCCAUGGGCAGGUUGAAGGUUGGGUAACACUAACUGGAGGACCGAACCGACUAAUGUUGAAAAAUUAGCGGAUGACCUGUGGCUGGGGGUGAAAGGCCAAUCAAACCGGGAGAUAGCUGGUUCUCCCCGAAAGCUAUUUAGGUAGCGCCUCGUGAAUUCAUCUCCGGGGGUAGAGCACUGUUUCGGCCAGGGGGCCAUCCCGGCUUACCAAUCCGAUGCAAACUGCGAAUACCGGAGAAUGUUAUCACGGGAGACACACGGCGGGUGCUAACGUCCGUCGUGAAGAGGGAAACAACCCAGACCGCCAGCUAAGGUCCCAAAGUCAUGGUUAAGUGGGAAACGAUGUGGGAAGGCCCAGACAGCCAGGAUGUUGGCUUAGAAGCAGCCAUCAUUUAAAGAAAGCGUAAUAGCUCACUGGUCGAGUCGGCCUGCGCGGAAGAUGUAACGGGGCUAAACCAU